UACGAAGGGGGCAAGCGUUGUUCGGAAUUACUGGGCGUAAAGGGCGCGUAGGCGGCCAGACCAAGUCAAAUGUAAAAGACCGGGGCUUAACUCCGGGCGGUCGUUCGAUACUGGUCGGCUAGAGUGUGGAAGAGGGUGCUGGAAUUCCCGGUGUAGCGGUGAAAUGCGUGGAUAUCGGGAGGAACACCAGCGGCGAAGGCGGGCACCUGGGCCAACACUGACGCUGAGGCGCGAAAGCGUGGGGAUCGAACAGG
rnacentral:rRNA from 1 species